rnacentral:rRNA from 1 species
UCUUCGGAUGAUUGAUUGGUGACUGAGUGGCGGACGGGUGAGUAACGCGUGGGUAACCUGCCCUGUACAGGGGGAUAACAGUUGGAAACGGCUGCUAAUACCGCAUAAGCGCACGAGAGGACAUCCUUUCGUGUGAAAAACUCCGGUGGUACAGGAUGGGCCCGCGUCUGAUUAGCUGGUUGGCAGGGUAACGGCCUACCAAGGCGACGAUCAGUAGCCGGUCCGAGAGGAUGAACGGCCACAUUGGAACUGAGACACGGUCCAAACUCCUACGGGAGGCAGCAGUGGGGAAUAUUGCACAAUGGGGGAAACCCUGAUGCAGCAACGCCGCGUGAGUGAAGAAGUAUUUCGGUAUGUAAAGCUCUAUCAGCAGGGAAGAUAAUGACGGUACCUGACUAAGAAGCUCCGGCUAAAUACGUGCCAGCAGCCGCGGUAAUACGUAUGGAGCAAGCGUUAUCCGGAUUUACUGGGUGUAAAGGGUGCGUAGGUGGCAGUGCAAGUCAGAUGUGAAAGGCCGGGGCUCAACCCCGGAGCUGCAUUUGAAACUGCAUAGCUAGAGUACAGGAGAGGCAGGCGGAAUUCCUAGUGUAGCGGUGAAAUGCGUAGAUAUUAGGAGGUACACCAGUGGCGAAGGCGGCCUGCUGGACUGUUACUGAC